rnacentral:rRNA from 1 species
AUGGUAUGGCCAGCAGCCGCGGUAAUACGGAGGAUGCGAGCGUUAUCCGGAUUUAUUGGGUUUAAAGGGUGCGUAGGCGGUUUAUUAAGUUAGUGGUUAAAUAUUUGAGCUAAACUCAAUUGUGCCAUUAAUACUGGUAAACUGGAGUACAGACGAGGUAGGCGGAAUAAGUUAAGUAGCGGUGAAAUGCAUAGAUAUAACUUAGAACUCCGAUAGCGAAGGCAGCUUACCAGACUGUAACUGACGCUGAUGCACGAGAGCGUGGGUAGCGAACAGG